GGUGUUGUGGCUCAGUAGUGGAGCACUUGCCUACCACAUGCAAGGCACUGGGUUUGAUCCUCAGCACCA
rnacentral:tRNA from 1 species